CAGUCGAACGAGAGAGAGGGAGCUUGCUUCCUCAAUCGAGUGGCGAACGGGCUCCUUAACGCGUGAGGAACCUGCCUCAAAGAGGGGGACAACAGUUGGAAACGACUGCUAAUACCGCAUAAGCCCACGACCCGGCAUCGGGUUGAGGGAAAAGGAGCAAUCCGCUUUGAGAUGGCCUCGCGUCCGAUUAGCUAGUUGGUGAGGUAAUGGCCCACCAAGGCAACGAUCGGUAGCCGGACUGAGAGGUUGAACGGCCACAUUGGGACUGAGACACGGCCCAGACUCCUACGGGAGGCAGCAGUGGGGAAUAUUGCACAAUGGGGGAAACCCUGAUGCAGCGACGCCGCGUGGAGGAAGAAGGUCUUCGGAUUGUAAACUCCUGUUGUUGAGGAAGAUAAUGACGGUACUCAACAAGGAAGUGACGGCUAACUACGUGCCAGCAGCCGCGGUAAAACGUAGGUCACAAGCGUUGUCCGGAAUUACUGGGUGUAAAGGGAGCGCAGGCGGGAAGACAAGUUGGAAGUGAAAUCUAUGGGCUCAACCCAUAAACUGCUUUCAAAACUGUUUUUCUUGAGUAGUGCAGAGGUAGGCGGAAUUCCCGGUGUAGCGGUGGAAUGCGUAGAUAUCGGGAGGAACACCAGUGGCGAAGGCGGCCUACUGGGCACCAACUGACGCUGAGGCUCGAAAGUGUGGGUAGCAAACAGGAUUAGAUACCCUGGUAGUCCACACCGUAAACGAUGAUUACUAGGUGUUGGAG
rnacentral:rRNA from 1 species